rnacentral:rRNA from 1 species
ACGAACGCUGGCGGCGUGCUUAACACAUGCCAGUCGAACGGAAAGGCCCUGCUUUUGUGGGGUGCUCGAGUGGCGAACGGGUGAGUAACACGUGAGUAACCUGCCCUUGACCUUGGGAUAACUUCAGGAAACCGGGGCUAAUACCGGAUAGGAGCUCCUGCUGCAUGGUGGGGGUUGGGAAGGUUCGGCGGUUGGGGAUGGACUCGCGGCUUAUCAGCUUGUUGGUGGGGUAGUGGCUUACCAAGGCUUUGACGGGUAGCCGGCCUGAGAGGGUGACCGGCCACAUUGGGACUGAGAUACGGCCCAGACUCCUACGGGAGGCAGCAGUGGGGAAUAUUGCACAAUGGGCGGAAGCCUGAUGCAGCAACGCCGCGUGCGGGAUGACGGCCUUCGGGUUGUAAACCGCUUUCGCCUGUGACGAAGCGUGAGUGACGGUAAUGGGUAAAGAAGCACCGGCUAACUACGUG